GUUAAGCGACUAAGCGUACACGGUGGAUGCCCUGGCAGUCAGAGGCGAUGAAGGACGUGCUAAUCUGCGAUAAGCGUCGGUAAGGUGAUAUGAACCGUUAUAACCGGCGAUUUCCGAAUGGGGAAACCCAGUGUGUUUCGACACACUAUCAUUAACUGAAUCCAUAGGUUAAUGAGGCGAACCGGGGGAACUGAAACAUCUAAGUACCCCGAGGAAAAGAAAUCAACCGAGAUUCCCCCAGUAGCGGCGAGCGAACGGGGAGCAGCCCAGAGCCUGAAUCAGUGUGUGUGUUAGUGGAAGCGUCUGGAAAGGCGCGCGAUACAGGGUGACAGCCCCGUACACAAAAAUGCACAUGCUGUGAGCUCGAUGAGUAGGGCGGGACACGUGGUAUCCUGUCUGAAUAUGGGGGGACCAUCCUCCAAGGCUAAAUACUCCUGACUGACCGAUAGUGAACCAGUACCGUGAGGGAAAGGCGAAAAGAACCCCGGCGAGGGGAGUGAAAAAGAACCUGAAACCGUGUACGUACAAGCAGUGGGAGCACGCUUAGGCGUGUGACUGCGUACCUUUUGUAUAAUGGGUCAGCGACUUAUAUUCUGUAGCAAGGUUAACCGAAUAGGGGAGCCGAAGGGAAACCGAGUCUUAACUGGGCGUUAAGUUGCAGGGUAUAGACCCGAAACCCGGUGAUCUAGCCAUGGGCAGGUUGAAGGUUGGGUAACACUAACUGGAGGACCGAACCGACUAAUGUUGAAAAAUUAGCGGAUGACUUGUGGCUGGGGGUGAAAGGCCAAUCAAACCGGGAGAUAGCUGGUUCUCCCCGAAAGCUAUUUAGGUAGCGCCUCGUGAAUUCAUCUCCGGGGGUAGAGCACUGUUUCGGCAAGGGGGUCAUCCCGACUUACCAACCCGAUGCAAACUGCGAAUACCGGAGAAUGUUAUCACGGGAGACACACGGCGGGUGCUAACGUCCGUCGUGAAGAGGGAAACAACCCAGACCGCCAGCUAAGGUCCCAAAGUCAUGGUUAAGUGGGAAACGAUGUGGGAAGGCCCAGACAGCCAGGAUGUUGGCUUAGAAGCAGCCAUCAUUUAAAGAAAGCGUAAUAGCUCACUGGUCGAGUCGGCCUGCGCGGAAGAUGUAACGGGGCUAAACCAUGCACCGAAGCUGCGGCAGCGACGCUUAUGCGUUGUUGGGUAGGGGAGCGUUCUGUAAGCCUGUGAAGGUGUGCUGUGAGGCAUGCUGGAGGUAUCAGAAGUGCGAAUGCUGACAUAAGUAACGAUAAAGCGGGUGAAAAGCCCGCUCGCCGGAAGACCAAGGGUUCCUGUCCAACGUUAAUCGGGGCAGGGUGAGUCGACCCCUAAGGCGAGGCCGAAAGGCGUAGUCGAUGGGAAACAGGUUAAUAUUCCUGUACUUGGUGUUACUGCGAAGGGGGGACGGAGAAGGCUAUGUUGGCCGGGCGACGGUUGUCCCGGUUUAAGCGUGUAGGCUGGUUUUCCAGGCAAAUCCGGAAAAUCAAGGCUGAGGCGUGAUGACGAGGCACUACGGUGCUGAAGCAACAAAUGCCCUGCUUCCAGGAAAAGCCUCUAAGCAUCAGGUAACAUCAAAUCGUACCCCAAACCGACACAGGUGGUCAGGUAGAGAAUACCAAGGCGCUUGAGAGAACUCGGGUGAAGGAACUAGGCAAAAUGGUGCCGUAACUUCGGGAGAAGGCACGC
rnacentral:rRNA from 1 species